rnacentral:rRNA from 1 species
CAGUCGCCGCGGUAAUACAGAGGGUGCGAGCGUUAAUCGGAAUUACUGGGCGUAAAGCGCGCGUAGACGGUUUUGUAAGUCAGAUGUGAAAUCCCUGGGCUCAACCUGGGAACUGCAUUUGAGACUGCAUGGCUAGAGUAUCGAAGAGGGAAGUGGAAUUUCCAGUGUAGCGGUGAAAUGCGUAGAUAUUGGAAGGAACACCAGUGGCGAAAGCGACUUCCUGGUCGAAUACUGACGUUCAUGUGCGAAAGCGUGGGGAGCGAACAGGAUUAGAUACCCCCGUAGUCCCUGUCUCUUAUAC